AUGGUGCUCUCCCAGUGCUCCUCACCCUCACCAGUCCUUCACCAGUCCUCCCAGUGCCCCACACUGGAGAGUCCAGGUAUGAUCCCUGCCAAGCACAGGGCUCCAGUUUGCUUUCCACAUUCCCCCUGGAGCUUCACUGUCUCCUGCAGGCUGCUCAUCCUCCUGAGCCCCAUUCACCCUUCUGGGAAGGGACGAGGACCCCCAGCCCCUCCAGGUGCUGCACGGUGCUCCAGCUGUAACUGGGACAGACCCAGCUCCCAGAAAAGCACAGCCCUGCACCUUCCUCCUCCUCCCCAGGGCUCAUCCCCUCACCCACCACAGCUCUGCCCUGGUUCCUCCCAGCUGCUCCUCCUGGCCUGGCACCCCCAGGUGCUGCCCCAGCCUGGUGUGGGGCAGCUGCAGCACUGUGUCCCCUGCCCCAUCACUCCUCCCUGCACAAGGAGCACAACAGCAGAUGCCUUUUCACACUUUGGGGGCUUUUCCCAGAGGCCAGCUGCCCUGGAGGCUGGUGGUGUCUCUGUGGGGGCUGUGCAGCCCGGCCCUGGCUGGGUUUGGCAGAGCAUGAGGGGGGUGUGUGUGUGUGUGUGUGUGUUUUCUACCUUGGUGUGUUCCUGUAAAUAGUGUAAGUUAUUGUGCUCUCCUGCUGUACGUUUUUCAAUGGCUGUUUGUUUCUUGCCUUUUUGUCUUUGCAAAUAAAAUGUUCUUGACAUGAAGGCA
rnacentral:lncRNA from 1 species